rnacentral:rRNA from 1 species
ACGGGUGAGUAACACGUGAGUAACCUGCCCUUGACUCUGGGAUAACCUCCGGAAACGGAAGCUAAUACCGGAUACGACGUACGGAGGCAUCUCCUGUACGUGGAAAGAACUUCGGUCAAGGAUGGACUCGCGGCCUAUCAGGUAGUUGGUGAGGUAACGGCCCACCAAGCCUACGACGGGUAGCCGGCCUGAGAGGGUGACCGGCCACACUGGGACUGAGACACGGCCCAGACUCCUACGGGAGGCAGCAGUGGGGAAUAUUGCACAAUGGGCGAAAGCCUGAUGCAGCAACGCCGCGUGAGGGAUGACGGCCUUCGGGUUGUAAACCUCUUUUAGUAGGGAAGAAGCGAAAGUGACGGUACCUGCAGAAAAAGCACCGGCUAACUACGUGCCAGCAGCCGCGGUAAUACGUAGGGUGCGAACGUUGUCCGGAAUUAUUGGGCGUAAAGAGCUCGUAGGCGGUCUGUCGCGUCUGCUGUGAAAACCCGAGGCUCAACCUCGGGCCUGCAGUGGGUACGGGCAGACUAGAGUGCGGUAGGGGAGAUUGGAAUUCCUGGUGUAGCGGUGGAAUGCGCAGA